rnacentral:rRNA from 1 species
CUCCGGUUGAUCCUGCCGGACCCGACUGCUAUCAGAGUGGGACUAAGCCAUGCGAGUCAACAUAGCAAUAUGUGGCAUACGGCUCAGUAACACGUAGUCAACAUGCCCAGGGGACGUGGAUAACCUCGGGAAACUGAGGAUAAACCGCGAUAAGUCACUACUUCUGGAAUGGGUAAUGACUCAAAUCUACAUGGCCCCUGGAUUGGACUGCGGCCGAUCAGGCUGUUGGUGAGGUAAUGGCCCACCAAACCUGUAACCGGUACGGGCUCUGAGAGGAGGAGCCCGGAGAUGGGCACUGAGACAAGGGCCCAGGCCCUAUGGGGCGCAGCAGGCGCGAAACCUCUGCAAUAGGCGAAAGCCUGACAGGGUUACUCUGAGUGAUUUCCGUUAAGGAGAUCUUUUGGCACCUCUAAAAAUGGUGCAGAAUAAGGGGUGGGCAAGUCUGGUGUCAGCCGCCGCGGUAAUACCAGCACCCCGAGUGGUCGGGACGUUUAUUGGGCCUAAAGCAUCCGUAGCCGGUUCUACAAGUCUUCCGUUAAAUCCACCUGCUUAACAGAUGGGCUGCGGAAGAUACUAUAGAGCUAGGAGGCGGGAGAGGCAAGCGGUACUCGAUGGGUAGGGGUAAAAUCCGUUGAUCCAUUGAAGACCACCAGUGGCGAAGGCGGCUUGCCAGAACGCGCUCGACGGUGAGGGAUGAAAGCUGGGGGAGCAAACCGGAUUAGAUACCCGGGUAGUCCCAGCUGUAAACGAUGCAGACUCGGUGAUGAGUUGGCUUCUUGCCAACUCAGUGCCGCAGGGAAGCCGUUAAGUUUGCCGCCUGGGGAGUACGGUCGCAAGACUGAAACUUAAAGGAAAUGGCGGGGGAGCA